rnacentral:rRNA from 1 species
AGUGAACGCUGGCGGUAGGCCUAACACAUGCAAGUCGAACGGCAGCACAGUAAGAGCUUGCUCUUACGGGUGGCGAGUGGCGGACGGGUGAGGAAUACAUCGGAAUCUACUUUUUCGUGGGGGAUAACGUAGGGAAACUUACGCUACUACCGCAUACGACCUACGGGUGAAAGCAGGGGAUCCUCGGACCUUGCGCGAUUGAAUGAGCCGAUGUCGGAUUAGCUAGUUGGCGGGGUAAAGGCCCACCAAGGCGACGAUCCGUAGCUGGUCUGAGAGGAUGAUCGGCCACACUGGAACUGAGACACGGUCCAGACUCCUACGGGAGGCAGCAGUGGGGAAUAUUGGGCAAUGGGCGCAAGCCUGACGCAGCCAUGCCGCGUGGGUGAUGAAGGCCUUCGGAUUGUAAAGCCCUGUUAUUAGGGAAGAAAAAAUGUAUAAGAAUAUACGGCCGUCUUGACGGUACCUAAAGAGAAAGCACCGGCUAACUACGUG